GCCUCUGUGGCGGAAUUGGUAGACGCGCCGGACUCAAAAUCCGGUUCUUCACGGAGUGUCGGUUCGAUUCCGACCGGAGGCACCA
rnacentral:tRNA from 2 species